rnacentral:rRNA from 1 species
UAGGCGCACGGGUGAGUAACACGUAGGUAAUGUGCCUUUGGGUGGGGAAUAACUUAGGGAAACUUAAGCUAAUACCGCAUAAUGCGAUAACUUCUUCGGAAGAUUUUGUUAAAGAUUUAUCGCCUGAAGAGCAGCCUGCGGCAGAUUAGCUAGUUGGUAAGGUAACGGCUACCAAGGCUACGAUCUGUAUCCGACCUGAGAGGGUGGUCGGACACACUGACACUGAAUAACGGGUCAG